AAGGAUGGAUUUUGUUUUCUUACAACUAGAGCUGAAACGAUCAAUUGAUUACGCCAAGCAAAACAGUGAAAAAAAAAAUAGAGGGUGUCUGCAGCUGGAACAGCCCUCCACCUCCAUCUGUGUGCGGAAGUGAGCUGAAGCAGAGAAAAAGGUGGCGUGUGGAGGCAAUAAGGACCUGGCUGUUCUCUGCUUUGUUUACUCAGGUCAAAUAAUACAGACAACUGAUCUACCUGCAGUCUUCCCUGCUGUCGCCCAUGUGCUGCAGGCUGGAGUGGAGGAAGGGUAUCACUGGAGUCCACACAAGGGCAGUUCAUCUUGAGGCUUUGACGACCACAUUGGGCAGCGACAUCACCAGUUUAUUGAUUUAAAGUACACAUUGGGAGCAAAUAACAGUGAGAGGACAAUUAACAAGUGGCGGGCACCCGGCACAGCUAACAGAUACUGUGUGGUGCUGCAGCAGCUGAAGAAGCUAACUAUUAACCACUCAGAUGAACAUCAGCAGGUGUUUGCUGCUACUCAACCUUUGAGUUGUCUGUUCGUCCAUGACCAGAGAGAUGUAGCCCUCGAUCAGGGAGAAGGAGAA